GCAGCGAGAGAUAAGUCGUGAUGGUAUGAGAAAAGUUGCCGACGGAAAGGGUCAGUGUUUUUCGAUCGUCUUGUUCUUUUGCCUGUCCCUCUCGUUCCUUUGCGGAUGGAAUUUCAGGGCGUUAUGUCCACCGAUAUCCAGGCGGUCUAAUUUACCCAGGCCGUUCUAAAACGGAGGAGGAAAAUGAUAUGGCUUAGGGACCACGCACGCACUCAUGCUGCUGUCUGUAGACUUCUCCCCGUCGGUAGUAACCUCAAGCCGAUUUUUCCUAGAAUAAGAAUGAGAGCAAAAGAUGAAGGUGUCUACUCAGUGUGUGGCAGCUGUGGAAAAGGCAAAUUCCAUGCUAGGAAUCAUUAGGAAAGAGCACUGGGCCCCUCCCCUGGAUCCUAGUCUUCCUCCUCCUCCUGCCCACUUUGCCAGGAGUUCUCGACAAGGCUCAUGACAUCCUGAGGGACACCAUACAACAACUCCCAUAAUGCAAAACAGUAGCCUCCUGCAACUACUUUCUGGAAAUUGCCCUGGAGGUGGGAGCAGAACUACUGAAGCGCACUGCCCCCAACCUCCACUUCCCUCAGAUGCUCCAGAAGGAUACAGUGGUUAACAGUAGCGAAAGCUGACAAGAGGUCAAGGAAAACAAGCAGGGUCACACUCCUCCCUCCAGACAGAUGUGAUCAUACAGGGCGACCAACGCAAUUUCAGUGCCAUGACCAGGCCUGAAGCCAGACUGCAAUGGAUCCAAGUAAUCAGUUUCCUCCAAGCAUGCUUGAAGCUGGACCACCUCCAUCCUCUCAAACACCUUGCCAAAAAUGGGGAUAUUUGCCACUGGGUGAUUGUUGUUUUAACAUGUCUGGGUCCAGGAAGAACAUCUUCAAUGAAGAUCAUCAUUAUCAUGUUCCUCAUCAUCAACAGACCCCCCACUCCCCAGGAUUCACAUAUGUUUUUAAAUGUACAAAGCAAGAACGCAUACUAAGAAUCUCUUAAAGUAUAACUAAACUGCGGCACAUUACCCUGAAUAUUUAUCCUUUGAAAACAUCAAACAAAGAUCCGUCUAGUCCUGCAUUCUUUGUAAAAAUUCCAGCAGCCAGCUGGGUGGCUUACCAGAAAUUAUGGUUCACUAUGGGCUACUGGCUAGUCUUUUCUUCCAGCCAUCCCUGCCCUGCCACAUGUAUCUUGCUGACUUCUUUUUGGACUAGCCAUAUGCGGUAAAAUUCAUCAUGUAUGACUUCCAGAAGUAGAUACUUGAAAAAUGCUCCAUCUGGAAGGGCCUUUAGAAGAGAUAGUGAGACACGCAAAAUGAGUUGAAAUACAAGUGAGGAAAAGGAAAUGGUGCUGAAUAUUGAAAAUUGUUCCAUCCUCUUGGAAUCCAGUCCUGAAACAGUUCCAACAUCUCUUCCUGGCUCCACUGGGACCCUGUUAAUGAAUCUCCUAAUCGGAUUUUUCUGUCUUUGUGGUUUUGAGUAAUGUUAAUUGAAUAUUGAACACAGAUUCAUUCUAACAGCAACUUGGCCUCUGGCAAUUGCCUUUUAAAUACCAAGAAAAAUAAGCUAAUAUUGGAGUGCCAGGUGAGAGCAGGAACAAGUAAUCCCAUCAUUCAGUGUGGCUCUAUAGGAACAAAGGAACAAGCUUUAUAUUGACUCAAAUCAUUGGUCUAUCUAGCUCAGUACUGUCUCUAUCAGGGAGUGUGGAACCUCUGGAUGUUGGUGGACUACAACUCCCAUCCUUCCUGAUCUUGGCCAUGCUGAAUGGGGCUGAGAGGAGUUGGAAUCCAUCAACAUCUGGAUGGCUGCCCCUCAUCUACAUUGACUAGCAGUGGCUCUCUGGGGUUUCAGGCACUCCUCCCCCCCCCUCGGCCUUACUUGGAGAUGCUAGAGAUCAAA